UUGUUCCUACAACAAAAAAUUAAGUACUAAUUAAGUUUUAACAAAAUGUAACGAAAAGGGAACUAAGUUCAGUUGAAAUCAUCACAGAAACACUCAAAAUUAGCGACACAUCAAAACAUUCGAUUAAUUAAUUGAUUUUUUAUUUGUACUACUAUUGGACAAAUGUAUAGUGUCUUAUGGUUGGAUCAAAUAUUUGUUUACAUUUUUAUUAAGUUCUACUGAAACAGACUGUAGAUUUUUUUUUUCAAUAAAUGAUAAAUGAAAUGGUAUUACCGCAUACGUAAUAUCUAGUAUAGUCUAGUAUAGUCUAUGCUGGUGAAGUACCAGUAAGUAGUAAUAGGGGAGAAUGGAUACAGGUCGCCAAGCCUAUCAUAACAACUGAGAAAUCAACCACAAUAUUUUCAAAUAGAAUCACGGGAGAUCGACCUAAUAAAGAGGUUACGGAGGGUACCAGGGGAUGCAGUCUGCACUUGCCCAGAAAAACGCCAAGUUAUUGCGCCAGAGAAAUAUCCCAAAUCAAAAGGAUUAUCGAAGUCGAACACUGAUUCGUUGCAAAACCUAAGUAUAUCAACAACGAAAACAGUUACAAGAUUAUUUUUUCAAAUUUACAUUGAAUCCUAAAUGAAUAAAAUAAAAUAUCUGAUUCGGCUAAUA